GGCACUCGGCGGCGACCACUGAGCAGACCUUACUUUGCUGGCUCGCAACUCGCUCCGCUUCCUCUGCAGCCAUGUCUGACAAACCCGAUAUGGCUGAGAUUGAGAAAUUCGAUAAGUCGAAACUGAAGAAAACAGAAACGAGAGAGAAAAAUCCACUGCCUUCACAAGAAACGAUUGAACAGGAGAAGCAAGCGGGCGAGUCGUAAUGAGGCGCGCGCCGCCAGUACGCACUGUACAUUCCACGAGCAUUGCCUUCUUAUUUUACUUCUUUUAGCUGUUUAACUUUGUAAGAUGCAAAGAGGUUGGAUCAAGUUUAAAUGACUGUGCUGUCCCUUUUCACAUCAAAGAAUGGAGAACUACUGACAACGAAGGCCGCGCCUGCCUCCCAUCCGCCUGUCUGGCUGGCAGGGAAGGAAAAGAACUUGCAUGUUGGUGAAGGAAGGAGGCUGGGUGGGACGACAGUGAAAUCUAGAGUAAAGAGCAAGCUGGUCCAAGGUGUCCUGCGGGCUGUAAAAUGCAGUUUAAUCAGAGUGCCAUUUUUUUUGUUGUUGUUGUUCAAAUGAUUUUAAUUAUUGGAAUGCACAAUUUUUUUAAUAUGCAAAUAAAAAGUUUUAAAACCUG
rnacentral:lncRNA from 1 species